rnacentral:rRNA from 1 species
CAUGGCUCAGAUUGAACGCUGGCGGCAGGCCUAACACAUGCAAGUCGAGCGGCAACGGGGGGAAGCUUGCUUCCCUGCCGGCGAGCGGCGGACGGGUGAGUAAUGUCUGGGGAUCUGCCCGAUGGAGGGGGAUAACCACUGGAAACGGUGGCUAAUACCGCAUAACCUCUUUGGAGUAAAGUGGGGGACCUUCGGGCCUCACGCCAUCGGAUGAACCCAGAUGGGAUUAGCUAGUAGGUGGGGUAAUGGCUCACCUAGGCGACGAUCCCUAGCUGGUCUGAGAGGAUGACCAGCCACACUGGGGCUGAGACACGGCCCAGACUCCUACGGGAGGCAGCAGUGGGGAAUAUUGCACAAUGGGCGCAAGCCUGAUGCAGCCAUGCCGCGUGUAUGAAGAAGGCCUUCGGGUUGUAAAGUACUUUCAGCGGGGAGGAAGGCAACAGCGUAAAUAGCGCUGUUGAUUGACGUUACCCGCAGAAGAAGCACCGGCUAACUCCGUGCCAGCAGCCGCGGUAAAAUCACUAGUGAAUUCGCGGCCGCCUGCAGGUCGACCA